AUGUCGCAUUCCAGAAAACUCAUCUAUCAGAGGUUUAUGAUCAUUAUCAGCAAUAAAGAGCGUGUACAACAAGAGUUGAGUCAAGUUUACACAGUUCUAUUCAGACUGAACAUCGCUUGUUGUGGGCUUCCCUGGAGCUUCAGUGAUAUUAUUCUCUUGUUUUUGCUGCUCCACCUCAACUGUAAAUUACACUUCCUAGCUUUAGGCUGAGCUGUUUUUUGUCUCUUUCCUUCCCACUAGGAGUCUGGCUUCUUCUGGAUAAUUUAAUAACUUUUCCACUGGAAAUAGUUUAUCAGUUUCUUAAGCAUAGUUAUGUUUUAUUGGCCUUAUUGUCUAUAUCGCUAUUUAACAAGAAUGGUACAAUGCCUUCCCAGUGGAUUUUCUAUGUCUCCUUUGUGUACAGAGUUUUCAGCAGUUUAAGUGUUUUCUUGUUGGUUUUGGUUUGUUUGGACUGAUGGGUUUUAUCCUGCUGUUUGACUGGCAAAUUGUGAUGUCAUCUCCAUUGCAAUUCUCUAGUCUUAUCAUUGAUUUGGUUGUCAUCUCCUCCCAGGGCUUUGAUUAUUUUCUAAAUGUUAGUCUUGAAAUUCUUCCAGUCUCCUUGUUAAUUUUCUCACAUGAAUACCAAGUAUUUUUUUUUUUCCCAAGGGCUUACUGAAUUUUAAGAUCUCUAGCCAUGCGUACAUAUUUAUUACCUAAGCCCUAUGGUGUCAAAGCCAACUCGGUUGUGACAGGGUGAUAUCAGGAGACUCUCUGCUCUGCUGC
rnacentral:lncRNA from 1 species